rnacentral:rRNA from 1 species
AUUGAACGCUGGCGGCAGGCCUAACAAAUGCAAGUCGAGCGGAGCGGCGGACGGGUGAGUAAUGCCUAGGAAUCUGCCUGGUAGUGGGGGAUAACGUCCGGAAACGGGCGAUAAUACCGCAUACUAUCAGAUGAGCCUAGGUCGGAUUAGCUAGUUGGUGGGGUAAAGGCCUACCAAGGCGACGAUCCGUAACUGGUCUGAGAGGAGGAUCAGUCACACUGGAACUGAGACACGGUCCAGACUCCUACGGUAGGCAGCAGUGGAGAAUGUUGGACAAUGGGCGAAAGCCUGAUCCAGCCAUGCCGCGUGUGUGAAGAAGGUCUUCGAAUUGUAGAGCACUUUAAGUUGGGAGGCGUUACCAUCAGAAUAAGCACCUGCUAACUUCGUACGAGCCGCCGCGGUAAUUC